rnacentral:snoRNA from 1 species
CUGCAGUGAUGACGUCUUAGGACACCUUUGGAUUCUCCAUGAAAACAACCUCUGACCUGAGCAGC